AGGAUCUGAAGGGAAAGCCACACUUUAGUCAGGAGGGGAGGCCAGCAGGUGUGUUUCUUUGUAAGGGAGGUGUGAGUAAGGGUAAGAAAAGGGUGACAAAAUGGCUCCCAGCCUGCAUCCCUGGGGCACCCAGAAUGCCCAAGCCUUUCCCACAAGCUCCUGCUUCCCACCCUGGGAGCACGGCUGACACAGCCACCCUCCCUCGACUGUGCUUGGAUUUAACAGUCCAGACUGUCCAGUUCUCCUCUGGGUCCAGCCCACAAUGCCAUGGCCCAGCCCAAGCCAGGAGCUCCAGAGAAGGGGCAGGGCAGCCCAGCCAGCCUCUGAAGGGAUGAGGCUGGCUACAGGUGCCACGGGCUGGGGACCAGAGAAGCAGCCUUCCCAGAGCUGCCUGUGUGGGGGUCUCUUCCCAGAGAGCAGACUAAAAGACCACAGAGAGUUCACGUGGCCUCCCUCAGGAGUAGCCUGGACACUUCCCAGCUCCACGGGGCCCGAGGAAGAUGUCCCAGAGUUCUGGAAGCUGUCUGUGCAGUGACCUUCAGUCUCAGAUCACCAGGAAGUGCCUUCCCUUCCCUCUGUCCCCACCUCAGGGCACAUUUGUAUGUUAGAGACCUCCAACCCCACAAAGUGCUUGGGCUUGGUUGAAGGCAGCCCUGCCCAAAGGCAGAGGAAUGGCCCCAUGGCCCCAGGGUGCCGGAUUGACCUGGCUUCCUCUCGGCAGCCCCGGUGCCCCCUGAAGAUCUCGCACCUUGCUGAGGCUCUCCUGGGCUCCCUGGGCUUCUGUGUUAAAGGCAGCCACAGAACAGCUGACCAUACGCAAGUGGAUCCUGGUCUCGUGCACCUCCCUGGAGAGAGCAGGUGCGCCCUCACCUCUCACGGAGGGCACUUCUGACUGAGACUGUUGAGGGUCCGAGCAGAACCACGGUGGGAGUGCACAACCACAUGUGGCUGCGCCCACCACACAUGCCAGUGAGGACGAGCUCGGGGCCAGGUCAGGCUCCAGACAGACAGAGGAAGCCCACCCCAGGGCACUUGCUACGGGAACGGCCCCAUUUCCAGAGCAAAUCGAGGUCAGGACUCUUUUACGAAUUCUCUUUUUCUCUAAGUGGAGGGAGUGGGCAGGACCAUUUUCCCCACUGCACAAAAAGGAAACCAACCCAAGGACAGAUAAACCAGUGGUUGAUUCUCA